rnacentral:rRNA from 1 species
GGCAUCGCUGGGUAGCUAUGUAGGGAAGGGAUAAGCGCUGAAAGCAUCUAAGUGCGAAGCCCCCCUCAAGAUGAGAUUUCCCAUGAUUUUAUAUCAGUAAGAGCCCUGAGAGAUGAUCAGGUAGAUAGGUUAGGAGUGUAAGUGUAGCGAUACAUGUAGCGGACUAAUACUAAUAGCUCGAGGACUUAUCCAAAA